rnacentral:rRNA from 1 species
GACGAACGCUGGCGGCGUGCCUAAUACAUGCAAGUAGAACGCUGAAGGAGGAGCUUGCUUCUCUGGAUGAGUUGCGAACGGGUGAGUAACGCGUAGGUAACCUGCCUGGUAGCGGGGGAGAACUAUUGGAAACGAUAGCUAAUACCGCAUAACAGUAGAUAUCGCAUGAUAUCUACUUGAAAGGUGCAAUUGCAUCACUACCAGAUGGACCUGCGUUGUAUUAGCUAGUUGGUGAGGUAACGGCUCACCAAGGCGAUGAUACGUAGCCGGCCUGAGAGGGUGAUCGGCCACACUGGGACUGAGACACGGCCCAGACUCCUACGGGAGGCAGCAGUAGGGAAUCUUCGGCAAUGGACGGAAGUCUGACCGAGCAACGCCGCGUGAGUGAAGACGGUUUUCGGAUCGUAAAGCUCUGUUGUACGAGAAGAACGAGUGUGAGAGUGGAAAGUUCACACUGUGACGGUAUCUGAACAGAAAGGGACGGCUAACUACGUG